GCUGGGCACUGUGGCUUGUGCCUGUCAUCCCAGCUUCUUGGGAGGCUAAGACUGUAGAAUCAUAUGAGCUCAAGGGUUCUGGGCUACAGUGGCCCAUGUUGAUCAGGUGUCCAUACUAAAAUCAGCAUCAAUAUGGUGACCUGUAGGAAGCUGUAGGUUACCAGGUUGUGUAAAAAGGGGUGAACUGUCCCAGGUCAGAAAUGGAGCAGGUCAAAACUCCUGUGCUGAGAGGUAGUGGGAUUGCACCUGUGGUUGGUUCGUGUAGCCCAGCCUGGGCAAGAGAAUGAGACGCAGUCUCU
ensembl:misc_RNA Metazoa_SRP Metazoan signal recognition particle RNA